UGGAGUGUGGCCAAGUGGUAAGGCAAUGGGUUUUUGGUCCCGCCAUUCAGAGGUUCGAAUCCUUCCGUUCCAG
rnacentral:tRNA from 1 species